rnacentral:lncRNA from 1 species
CCAGGCCCAGCCAUAGAGGAAGCAAAGAGGCGAAAACAUAUUUCUGCCUGAAAUGACCUCCUAUUUUAAGAAAAAACAACAGCCCCAAAAGAAGGAAAGAAAAAACAAAGCUCCACCCAGAAGGAAAUUGUAUGUAAACAGCCCAAAAAGAGACCAAGACCUAGAGGGUUGGAAUACUGAAAUAAGCUAUGAGUGAAAGGCAUGAUUAGCCUCUGACAAUGUCAGAAUCUGAACUUUGUGACAACUGCUUGGUGAUUGACAAAAAGGGGUUGGGGGUGGGAGGAACUAGACAAAAGCAAGCUGGUUGAAAAGUCCCCUCUGCAGCAUGGAAACUUUGAUCUUUGAAGUUUGCCUGUUUUUUCAGGCCUCUGCUAGUGUGUAACCCAGGGAAGAUCAGCAACCACGAAAUGUUGGCUAUAAUUUUCUGCAAUUUGUCACAUGCCCUCUGCAAGCCCUGGGAUUCUGUUGUUGGAGCCACAAGGACCCUUAAGAAAAAUACUUGGAGCCAGCUGGUCCCUGCCAUCAUUGAAACCCAAAGGGAGGAGCUCCACGGGUGAGGAGCUACUCCCUAGAUGUCUUGAAGUUGCUUGUAUUUCAAAAGAAUUCAGCUUACCACCA